rnacentral:rRNA from 1 species
UACGGGGGGGGCAAGCGUUGAUCGGAAUUACUGGGCGUAAAGCGUGCGCAGGCGGUUCGUUGAGUCUGAUGUGAAAGCCCCGGGCUUAACCUGGGAAUGGCAUUGGAAACUGGCGAGCUGGAGUGUGGCAGAGGGGGGUGGAAUUCCGCGUGUAGCAGUGAAAUGCGUAGAGAUGCGGAGGAACACCGAUGGCGAAGGCAGCCCCCUGGGACAACACUGACGCUCAGGCACGAAAGCGUGGGGAGCAAACAGG